rnacentral:rRNA from 1 species
AGUGAACGCUGGCGGUAGGCCUAACACAUGCAAGUCGAACGGCAGCACAGUAAGAGCUUGCUCUUACGGGUGGCGAGUGGCGGACGGGUGAGGAAUACAUCGGAAUCUACUUUUUCGUGGGGGAUAACGUAGGGAAACUUACGCUAAUACCGCAUACGACCUACGGGUGAAAGCAGGGGAUCUUCGGACCUUGCGCGAUUGAAUGAGCCGAUGUCGGAUUAGCUAGUUGGCGGGGUAAAGGCCCACCAAGGCGACGAUCCGUAGCUGGUCUGAGAGGAUGAUCGGCCACACUGGAACUGGACCCCGUCCCAGACUCCUACGGGAGGCGGCGGUGGGAAAUAUUGGCAAAUGGGCGAAGGCCUAACCCAGCCAUACGGCGUGGGUGAAGAAGGCCUUCGGGUGGUAAAGCCCUUUUGUUGGGAAAAAAAGGCGGCGGGUUAAUACCCCGUUGUUUGACGGUAACCAAAAAAAAAGGCACCGCCUAAUUUCGU